rnacentral:rRNA from 3 species
GAAGCGGCAACAGCUCAAAUUUGAAACCUGGCGCUUGCGUCCGGAUUGUAAUUUGUAGAGGAUGCUUCUGGGCAGCGGCCGUUCUAAGUUCCUUGGAACAGGACGUCAUAGAGGGUGAGAAUCCCGUAUGUGACCGGCGCGCACCCUCCACGUAGCUCCUUCGACGAGUCGAGUUGUUUGGGAAUGCAGCUCUAAAUGGGAGGUAAAUUUCUUCUAAAGCUAAAUAUUGGCCAGAGACCGAUAGCGCACAAGUAGAGUGAUCGAAAGAUGAAAAGCACUUUGGAAAGAGAGUUAAAAAGCACGUGAAAUUGUUGAAAGGGAAGCGCUUCCAACCAGACUCCGCGGCGGUGUUCCGCCGGUCUUCUGACCGGUCCACUCGCCGCCGUGGGGCCAACAUCGUCUGGGGCCGCCGGAUAAGACCGGAGGAAUGUAGCUCAUUGAGUGUUAUAGCCUCCGGUGAUGCGGCGCGUCCCGGGCGAGGUCCGCGCUUCGGCAAGGAUGUUGGCGUAAUGGUUGGCAGCGGCCCGUCUUGAAACACGGACCAAGGAGUCUAACAUCUAUGCGAGUGUUCGGGUGUCAAACCCCUACGCGUAAUGAAAGUGAACGGAGGUGGGAGCUUCGGCGCACCAUCGACCGAUCCUGAUGUCCUCGGAUGGAUUUGAGUAAGAGCAUAGCUGUUGGGACCCGAAAGAUGGUGAACUAUGCCUGAAUAGGGUGAAGCCAGAGGAAACUCUGGUGGA